GAAUUCCACAGCCCCCACCCCUGCCCUCAGCCUCCUUGAAAGUGGCCGCUGGGGCUGGGGUCUGUCUUUGCAGAGGUGCCAGGCCACAUGCCCCGCCCACCUCUACCAGCUAUGCCGCCUCUGAAGUUCCUCCAGCGGCAAUGAGGAGGGGCCCUGUGGUCGAGGGUGCAGUUAAACGAGGCCCGACCGGGUGGUUGAGCUCAGCUUGGCUGUACUUGUCUUCCUUGGACCUGCUGGGCACCCCCAGCCAGGCGCAGUGGCUCAUUCCUAUAAUCCCAGCACUUUGUGAGGCUGAGGCGAGCAGAUCACCUGAGGUCAGGAGUACAAGACCAGCCUGGCCUACAUGAGCCAUCUCCAUGGUGGCCAUCUGUGAGGCUAUGACCGUCUCCCACCAGGCUGUGAGUCCCAUGAGGUCGAGGCAGCAGAAAGCAGCACCGCUCAGAUCCCAGAGCAAGGCAAGCGGGGAGCCGUGCCUGCCUCGGGCCUAAGCCCUUGCCCAGGGCUGUCUUCAGAGCUCCUCUCCACCUCCUGGGGUAGGGUGGAGGCUGCUCCUGGCGGGGCCAACACGGAGAACCAUCAGGGACUAAGGCAGAACCAGAACACGGAUUUGCUCUCCUGCCAGCCCAGGCCUGCAACCCCCUCCUGCCCCUCACCUUCUCCUUAGAGUUCUCUGGGGCCUGAGAACCCAGCAGGGUUCCACCCACAGUGCCCCGAAGGGUCACUUCCCCACCUGCUCCCCUGAUGGCCUCCUGCACCUAUCAAGAGCUAACUCACACCUUAUCCUCUUCUGAAGCUGUUGCUGCCCCUCAGGCAGGGCUGGUCACCAGCCUCAGGGCACCCUGUGUCAUUAGCUCCCUACUAGUCAGCCUCCCACCCAACCCCCUAUGCACACACCAGGUCUGGAGCCCCUUGGAGUCAGAGCCUGAGCCUGCUCCAUCUCCAUCUCUGUCUGCACUCCCAACACGGGGACUUCAGUUGGGGUUGGUGUGGAACAGGGUGGAAGGUGGAAGGAAGGAUGGAUGAAUAGCAGAAUCGAAGGGAUACUCCGAUCUCCAAACAGCCCCAGCCAGUUCUCCUCCUCCUCUGGUACCUCCUGCUCCACCUCCUGGGCAGGAGAGCAGACCUAGUCCUCCCAUUGCCAGUCCUGAUUUGUGGGGUCCCUGAGGUGGUGAAAGGAGUCUAGGCCCCUUUCCCCUUCCUGCUUGGCCCACGUGCACCUCCUGGAGUCUCAGCGCCAGAGAAACCCCCUCUGGAGGGAGGCAUCUCUCAACAAUGUCAGGGAAGGGACACGGUCAGCUCGUUUGUCAGCCCUGCUGGUCAACACCUGCCCGCCUCACAGGGAGGGGCUGGCGCUGGCCUCCCCUCCGGGGCCUGUUUCCCUUGGAGCCCUUUCCCAGAGCUGUCUAGAGCUCCCCACGAGCAAGCCCUGCUCAUUUCCUUCUGAAAAUAAAAACCACUUCCUGGCUUCGCAGAGAACUGCUCCGGUGAAAUGGGC